rnacentral:rRNA from 1 species
GUCGAGAAUCUUUCACAAUGGGGGCAACCCUGAUGGAGCGACGCCGCGUGGAGGAUAAGGUCUUCGGAUUGUAAACUCCUGUCAUGCGUGAACAAGGUUGCUUGGUUAAUACCUGGGCAAAUUGAUGGUAACGCAAGAGGAAGAGACGGCUAACUCUGUGCCAGCAGCCGCGGUAAUACAGAGGUCUCAAGCGUUGUUCGGAAUCACUGGGCGUAAAGGGUGUGUAGGUGGCGUGGUAAGUCAGAUGUGAAAGCCCGGGGCUCAACCUCGGAACUGCAUCCGAUACUGCCAUGCUAGAGUACUGGAGAGGUGACUAGAAUUCUCGGUGUAGCAGUGAAAUGCGUAGAUAUCGAGAGGAAUACCAAAGGCGUAGGCAGGUCACUGGACAGUUACUGACACUGAGGCACGAAGGCCAGGGGAGCGAACGGGAUUAGAAACCCCGGUAGUCC